UGGGGAAUCUUCCGCAAUGGACGAAAGUCUGACGGAGCAACGCCGCGUGAGUGAUGACGGCCUUCGGGUUGUAAAGCUCUGUUAAUCGGGAUGAAUGGUUCUUGUGCAAAUAGUGCGAGGAUUUGACGGUACCGGAAUAGAAAGCCACGGCUAACUACGUGCCAGCAGCCGCGGUAAUACGUAGGUGGCAAGCGUUGUCCGGAAUUAUUGGGCGUAAAGCGCGCGCAGGCGGAUUGGUCAGUCUGUCUUAAAAGUUCGGGGCUUAACCCCGUGAUGGGAUGGAAACUGCCAAUCUAGAGUAUCGGAGAGGAAAGUGGAAUUCCUAGUGUAGCGGUGAAAUGCGUAGAUAUUAGGAAGAACACCAGUGGCGAAGGCGACUUUCUGGACGAAAACUGACGCUGAGGCGCGAAAGCCAGGGGGGCGAACGGGAUUAGAUACCCCGGUAGUCCUGGCCGUAAACGAUGGGUACUAGGUGUAGGAGGUAUCGACCCCUUCUGUGCCGGAGUUAACGCAAUAAGUACCCCGCCUGGGGAGUACGACCGCAAGGUUG
rnacentral:rRNA from 1 species